rnacentral:rRNA from 1 species
UACGAAGGGGGCUAGCGUUGUUCGGAAUUACUGGGCGUAAAGCGCACGUAGGCGGGUCGUUAAGUCAGGGGUGAAAUCCCGGAGCUCAACUCCGGAACUGCCUUUGAUACUGGAGAUCUGGAGAUCGGGAGAGGUGAGUGGAAUUCCGAGUGUAGAGGUGAAAUUCGUAGAUAUUCGGAGGAACACCAGUGGCGAAGGCGGCUCACUGGACCGUUGCUGACGCUGAGGCGCGAAAGCGUGGGGAGCAAACAGG